rnacentral:lncRNA from 1 species
CUGCUCUCCCCUUGGACUCUUCGGAAAACUCUCGAGGUUGCUCCAUUUUCGCUCACCUCUCCAGAGCUUUCACUCAUACUGAGCUUGAAGAUCUCAGGUCCCUGCUUGCGUCGUUAGCUGCUCAAUCACACAGCGACGACCAAUUCAUCUCUCCCUCAGUUUUCAGAAGCUAUUGGAUUUGAUUAUGUUGUUGGAGCUCAAAAGUUGCAUAUAUUCAAGAAGCCGUGAAGACCAGGUUUUUUAAACUCCUAGAGGCAGAGGUUUGGGAGUUUAAGGAUUGUGUUCCAAGG